rnacentral:rRNA from 1 species
AGCAUGGUUGUUUGCCCGUUUGUGGAU